GGGUAUAAUAUUUUUAAUAAUUGGAGACUAAUAAGAUUUGUUCAAGAAAGUGGCAUUUUCUUCUUCUUUUCAAGUAAGAUAUGAGAGGAUUUGGACCCAGAAGAACUUAUCUCAUUUGAGGAAUCGUUGAGUGCUGAUUUUGUCAUUGGGCCAUAGCUCCAACCAAAAGAUGCUUGUGUAGAGGCUAUCUCUUUCCCAAAAUUGUCUUAUCCUGUUGGU
rnacentral:lncRNA from 1 species